rnacentral:lncRNA from 1 species
AUGAAACCCGGGAUGAAUUUGGUGCUUUCUGUGUUGAUGGCGAUCAGCAUAGCACUAGGUCAUGAUGGAAUCUCUAAACCUCCUGAUCUGACCGAAGAUCCCAGACAUGAGCUCCUGCAGCCGAACACCAAUCCAUCAGGACGGGACAGAACCUCAGCUGGACCCACAACCUCCUCCCCAACUAAAGAGAGCGUCCAACCAGAGACUCCAACAAAAGCUGGACCUAAGAUUCCUUUCUACGUGUCAACCGCUACAGCAGAGACAUUUCAACACUGGCGUAGCUCCACUCUCACCUCUCCAGGCUCAGUGUCAUCCACGUCAAGCUCCACCAUCGUCCAUGAAGGCAGAACUAGAGAGUCCACCUCCACCGUUUCACCUCCAACAGUCCAGGCCUCCAGCUCCACAGACCACACCUCCACCUCUCACCCCCCAUCUGAAUCAGGGACUACAGUCUCCACACAGAACGUAGGUCCCACUCAGACCUCGGCUGGUCUGGGCCCUGCAGGACCCUCACAUCAGGAGUUUCCAUCUGAGCUGAAUGUCGGAGAUGAGGGACUUACGGGCCCACACCACCGCUCCAGAACUCCUUUAGACCCUCUGCUGGCUGGUCUGUUGUCAGUGUUUAUUGUCACCACUGCUAUCGUCUUCGUCGUUCUCUUCUUCAAGUUCCGGCAGCGGAUGAACCACCCUGAGUUCCACCGACUCCAAGAUCUCCCCAUGGUACAGCCACUGACGGAAGCUCACAUCCUGUUCAACUCUUCCAACACGCAGAGAAUGUGUGUUUACUGA